rnacentral:snoRNA from 1 species
UCCCCCUCAGGGUUGCAGCUGGAGAGUUUCCAGUCCUCUACCAGUCUCGACUAUGGGAGGGAGAGUCAAGCAGAUGCCUAUCCAUUCCAUUCCUAGUUUGGGCAGUGGCUAGUGAGUGGAAGGCAAUCUGCUACAAGU